rnacentral:rRNA from 2 species
AGAGUACGUGAAACCGUUCAGGGGUAAACCUGAGAAACCCGAAAGGUCGAAAGGGGAGAUUCAGCGUGUCUCGAUUGCGGCGCUGGAAUGUCGUGCGACGGAAGACGUACGCGUCAUCCGCACCUUCAGUCCUCCGAACCGUAGUCGAACGCGUGCACUUCUCCCCCUGUAGGACGUCGCGAUCCGUUGGGUGCCGGUCUAAGGCCCGCAGUGGAGCCCGUUCGGACGGUUUACCGUUCCGGACGAACCUGCGGUGUUUCCCGGUCGGCUCGCUCGACGGUAUACAGAUGGCGCGGGGCCGCUACACAGUUAGCGUCCGACCGGCGGCAAGCGCGCUCGUCGUGACGGUGAUCGGACCUGGUGCCGGUCCUGUCCCCGAGUGGCUGUUCGCUGCCGUGUUCUCGGACAGACCUCGUCGAAACGCCGAUCUGCGACGCUAUAGCUUUGGGUACUUUCAGGACCCGUCUUG